GAGAGAACGCAGCAGAGACACAGGCAGAGGGAGAAGCAGGCUCCAUGCAGGGAGCCCAAUGUGGGACUCGAUCUGGGGUCUCCAAGAUCAGGCCCUGGGCUGAAGGCGGCGCUAAACCACUGAGCCACCGGGCUGCCCUGGAAAAAUACUUUUAAGUGAGUGUUGUUCUCAUGAAGUAUCUUUGUCUAGUUCUAAAGAUAAAAGUGAGGUUAUCAAAAUUUAUUAGCCAAAAUAAAAUCAAUCUGAUACUUACAAGGUAAAUCAAAUCCUGUUUUUUUGUCUGACACCCCAUAUAAUUCUUCUGUGGGGCCUAUUUACAUUUUCCUACUCCCCUUUUAACAUCUUUCCCUCCAUUAAUUCAACAGAGGAUUUGCUUCUGCCAUUUAUAAGACAAAAUCACUUAGCCAACCUGUCUAAGAAUCUUUCUUGGUAAAAGGACUAAUUAUAGUCUCUAGUCUUUCCUCAUGGGGUUGGUUAUUAUGAGUAUAAUCUGCAGUAAUAGGUGUGAAAGUGCCCUGUACACUAGAAUAUGUGAGAUCAAUGUAGGUUGGCAUUAUUGUAAUGCUUCUAAUUAUGUGUGACAUCUGCCUUCUCUGGGAGUUAAUAGAAUGUCAAUUUGAAUAUUUGGACAGGAAAAAUAAGUUUAGAUACUUUAAUUAGGAUACUCACCAAACUCCUGGCAAGGCAAUAAUUAGUUCAAAAGUAAAAGGGUAAAACAGAGGCAGACCUAGAGAGGAUAUUGGGAUGACUUUGUAGCCACAGCCUCAGGUCUCUGCACAUUAUGAGGCUGUAUUCCAAUCCAUUUGCUAUGGUGAAAAGGCAUGUGUAACGGCAGUAGGUAGCAAUUGUGCCCUCAGAAUGCAUCCAUUCACAAAUGGGAGGAGCUAAAAAGGCUCUAAGAACUGAGAGAUGAUGUCAUUGCUGUCCUUGUGGGGCACUGGCAGGGAAGAGCCUCUGGUCUCCCCAGAAGAACAAACAGCUAUGCUUAACCUCCAACUUCUGUUUGUACAGAGCCAUGCAAGGUUGGGAUACCUAGAAACUGAUUUGCCCCUCAGGUGACAAGAAGUGAACAUUAACGGCAUUUUAUCACUUGGAUCUUGCGUACCAACAGGUCCAGAGGAAAGGUAAAUCAAAGUGAGAGCUAAAUUCAACAGCUUAUAUUUGAACAAGUUAAUGUGUUUUCUCUUAAACUCAUAAUAAGUAACAUAGAUACAUGGGUUUGAUACCAGAUGUCUAUUAUUAGUGAGCUAAUAUUUGUCUCCUGAAACUCUAAUAGCUCAUCUUUGCUUUCAGACACUCUCAGAUCCUUCAUUUAAUUGAAUAGUUUCUCUGCACUUGGAGAAUUCACAUAUGUUAAAUAAUUUAAUCUUCACAAUGACCUACUAAGAUGUAGUUAUUUCCAUGUUA
rnacentral:lncRNA from 12 species